GAUGAACGCUGGCGGCGUGCCUAAUACAUGCAAGUCGAGCGAAUGUAUUAAGAGCUUGCUCUUAUGAAGUUAGCGGCGGACGGGUGAGUAAAACGUGGGUAACCUGCCCAUAAGACUGGGAUAACUCCGGGAAACCGGGGCUAAAACCGGAUAACAUGUUGAACCGCAUGGUUCGAAAUUGAAAGGCGGCUUCGGCUCUCACUUAUGGAUGGACCCGCGUCGCAUUAGCUAGUUGGUGAGGUAACGGCUCACCAAGGCAAAGAUUCGUAGCCGCCCUGAGAGGGUGAUCGGCCACAAUGGGAGUGAGACACGGCCCAGACUCCUACGGGAGGCAGCAGUAGGGAAUCUUCCGCAAUGGACGAAAGUCUGACGGAGCAACGCCGCGUGAGUGAUGAAGGCUUUCGGGUCGUAAAACUCUGUUGUUAGGGAAGAACAAGUGCUAGUUGAAUAAGCUGGCACCUUGACGGUACCUAACCAGAAAGCCACGGCUAACUACGUGCCAGCAGCCGCGGUAA
rnacentral:rRNA from 1 species